GGCUGUUCCAUCAUGCUUCCUCUACCCACCAACACAGGCUGUUCCAUCAUGCUUCCUCUACCCACCAACACAGGCUGUUCCAUCAUGCAUUUAAAAUAUAUUGGUUUUCAAAGCUGCUCCUUCAUGUCAAGUUCUUCUUGAAAAUAAAUGUCUCCUCGAUUAAAAAGUUAAAAACACAAGAAUCUGAAAACAUCCCACUUUUGUUCUUAACCAGCUGCUCUUGGGCUCACCACCAUAGCUAUUAUUAUUAUUAUUAUUAUUAUUAUUAUUAUUAUUCAGUGUCUUUGUAAUAUGGUUGGUAAAGCAUUGGCAGCUAGUGACUACACACAAGCAAAAUACAAAAACCUUUGUAAAUAUCAAAUAUAUAAAAGUGAAAAAAAAGGGGAUGGGGUUGUGUUUAGAAAAUUAUAUGCAGUCAACAUAUCAAAGAAUAUCAUACCAGUCAACUUGAAAAAACACCUUAGUAAAAAAAUUACAUUCUCCCAAAAUGUGUCCCCCCCCAUGCCAAAGCUAAAGCCGGAUUCUCUCACCUUUUCCCAGAUUACCAAAACAGUCAAAUACAUAAAAACAUUGAAAAUGUUGUCCUUGAAAUUGAGCCAAACUUACUUACAAACUUCAAAUCAGUUAAUAUAUUCCCCUACCUUUUUCCUUUUAGAAAAUGAAAGCCAUUAUGUUUUAAAACUAGGGCUGUCAAAGUUAACUCGUUAAAUAACGCGUGACAUUUGUAAUUCAGUAAAAACAAAAAUUGGACACUGUUAGUCUCCAUUUCUUCAUCACACGGAACCUUCUGAGCGCUCGUUUCCACACGGACCCUUUUGAGGGCUUGUUUCCGCACGGGCCGUUUUAAGCGCAACACACAACACGCUCUGUGCCUGGUCACCUCAGUCAGUGUGACCUCGGUCUCAGUAGCGUUGUCGGGCUCUUGUGGUGCACGACGCGCAUAGCUUUGGAAAACUGACAUGAAGUUCAACCAUAAACACAUUCCCAGGCGUUUCUUUAGAUAACAGCAAAAACAUAAUUUGGACAAAAGCGGUUAGCUUAGUUAUGCUAACCAAACUAAAAUGUUUACAAUGCCAUGCCUGAUUGCAUCUUGAAUCAACUAGCUAGCUACUUCCCACAAAAACAGUAAAUCCAUUCCAUUUACCUAACGUUACUGUUUUAGUUUUCAGGUUAAGUUCAGAAAAGUAUCCCAAUUCUAGUAGCAGCUUGUGACUAGUUGGUGUUGAAGAACAUAGAUCAGUAUCCUAGGCUAGAUCUAAUAGUUGUAUUAUAUUUGACAUGACCUCAGACCUGUCUGAUCGGUUGUUAAUUGGACAGGUUAAUUAACAUUGGACAGGUUUAAAAGCUCUUUGUCUCCAUGGAUACAGUUCUAUUUUCCUUAUAGUCAACACUCCAAUCAGAAAUUGGCAGAACACUCAUUUAGAAUGCCUGAAGCUUUCAGGACGUGAGUGUGUGUGUGUGGCAAAUGAGGAAGUUUUAAACUUCAAGAACAUUGAUAAGAGGGAGUAGAGGCCUACGGAAACAUUGGGAGGGUUAACAUCUAUGUUCG
ensembl:lncRNA